rnacentral:rRNA from 1 species
UACAGAGGGGCAAGCGUUGUUCGGAAUUACUGGGCGUAAAGGGUUCGUAGGUGGCUGGCUAAGUCAGACGUGAAAUCCCUCAGCUCAACUGGGGAACUGCGUCUGAGACUGGUCAGCUUGAGUGCAGGAGAGGAACGCGGAAUUCCAGGUGUAGCGGUGAAAUGCGUAGAGAUUAGGAAGAACACCAGUGGCGAAGGCGACUUACUGGUCCGGUUCUGACGCUGAGGCGCGAAAGCGUGGGGAGCAAACAGG